GAUGAACGCUGGCGGCGUGCCUAAUACAUGCAAGUCGAGCGGUAAGGCCCUUCGGGGUACACGAGCGGCAGACGGGUGAGUAACGCGUAAGAAUCUACCCCAAACUGAGGGAUAACUGCUCGAAAGAGUAGCUAAUACCGCAUGUGCUCUACGGAGUAAAGCUACGGCGGUUUGGGAAGAGCUUGCGUACGAUUAGCUAGUUGGUAAGGUAAUGGCUUACCAAGGCGACGAUCGUUAGCUGGUCUGAGAGGAUGAUCAGCCACACUGGGACUGAGACACGGCCCAGACUCCUACGGGAGGCAGCAGUAGGGAAUUUUCCACAAUGGGGGCAACCCUGAUGGAGCAACGCCGCGUGCAGGAUGAAGGCCUUCGGGUUGUAAACUGCUUUUGUCUGUGACGAAUAUGACGGUAGCAGACGAAUAAGGAUCGGCUAACUACGUGCCAGCAGCCGCGGUAA
rnacentral:rRNA from 1 species